ensembl:lncRNA
UUUUUUCUUUUUUUUUUUUUCUGUAAUCCCGGCACUUCGGGAGGCUGAGGCAAGUGGAUCACCUGAGGUCAGGAGUUUUAGACCAGCCUGGCCAACAUGGUGAAACCCCAUCUCUACUAAAAAUACAAAAAUUAGCCAAGUGUGGUGGCUCAUGCCUGUAAUCCCAACUCCUUGGGAGCCUGAAGCAUGAGAAUCGUUAGGUAGAGGUUGCAGUGAGCCAAGAUCGUGCCACUGCACUCCAGUCUGGGCAACAGAGCCAGACUCGGUCUAUAAAUAAAUAAAUAAAUAAAAGAAAUGCUAUUGAUUUUUUACAUUGGUUUUGCAUCCUAAAACCUUACUUGUUUACCAAUUCUAGGAGCCUUUGGGCAGAGACUGUGAAUUUUUCUAGGUACAGAAUUAUACUGUCUAUGAAGAGAGAUAGUUUGACUUGCUCUUUUCCAGUUGGUUGUCUUUUAUUUCUUUCUCUUGCCUGAUUGCUCUGGAUGGAAUUCCAGUACUCUGUUGAAUAAGAGUGGUGAGAAUGGGCAUCCUUGUCUUGUGCUGGUUCUCAAGGGGAAUGCUUCCAGUUUUUGCCCAUUAGUAUGAUAUUGGCUGUGGGUUUGUCAUAGAUAGCUCUAAUAUUUUAAGGUAUAUUCCCUCAUUGCCUAGUUUGUUGAGGGCUUUUAAUAUGAAGGGGUGUUAAUUUUUAUCAAAAGCCUUUUCUGCAUUUCUUGAGAUGAUCAUGUGGUUUUUGUAGUUCUGUUUAUGUGGUGAAUCACAUUUAUUGAUUCAUACAUGUUGAACCAAACCUUUUAUCCUAGGGAUAAAGCCCAUUUGAUUGUUUGGUAGAUUACCUUUCUGAUUUGCUGCUGGAUUCAAUUUGCUCGUAUUUUGUUGAGGAUUUUGUGUUUGUGUUCAUCAGGUAUAUUGGUCUUAAGUUUUCUUUUUUCUUUUUGUCUUUGCCAUGUUUUAGUAUGAGAAUGAUGCUGGCCUUGUAGAAUGAGUUAGGAACAAGUCCCUCCUCCUCAAUAUUUUUGAAUAAUUUUAGUAGAAUUAGUAUCACGUCUUCUUUACACAUCUGGAAGAAUUAGCUGUGAAUCUAUCUGGUCCAGGGCUUUUUCCGGUUGAUAGGGAUUUUUAAAAAAAUAGCUCAUUCAAUUUUGAAACUCAUUAAUUGAUCUCUUCAGGAUUUCAGUUUCUUCCUACUUCAGUCUUGGGAGGCUGUAUGUUUCUAAGAAUUCAUCCAUUUCUUUUAGGUUUUCCAGUUUGUGUGCAUAGAAGUGUUCAUAAUAGUCUCCAGAGUUUUUUUUUUUCCUGUGGGGUUGAGGGUAGUGUAACCUAUGUCAUUUCUAAUUGUAUUUAUCUGUAUCUUCUUUUUCUCAUUUAUUAAUCUAUAGUGAGCUAUUGUUCUCAUUUAUUCUUUUGAUGGACCAACUCUUGCCUUCAUUGAUGUUUUGUGUGGAUUUUCACAUCUCAGUUUCAUUUACCUCAGCUCUGAUUUUGGUUAUUGCUUUCCUUUUGCUAGUUUUGGGGUUGAUUUGUUCUUAUUUUUCAGUUUCUCUAGGUGUGAUCUUAGGUUGUUAAUUUAAGACCUUUCUAACUUCUUGAUAUAGGCAUUUAGCACUAUAAACUUUCCUCUUAACACUGCUUUGGCUGUGUCCCAGAGAUUCUGGCAUGUUGUAUUUUUGUUUUUAUUCAUUUCAAAGAACUUUUUCAAUUUUUGCCUUAAUUUGAUUCUUUACCCCAAAAGUCAUUCAGGAGCAGGUUGUUUAAUUUUCAUGUAAUUAUGUGGUUUUGAGAGAUCUUCUUGGUAUUUAUUUCUAUUUUUAUUAAACUGUGGUCUUUGAGAGUGUGGUU